rnacentral:rRNA from 1 species
UACGAAGGGGGCUAGCGUUGCUCGGAAUCACUGGGCGUAAAGGGUGCGUAGGCGGGUCUUUUAAGUCAGGGGUGAAAUCCUGGAGCUCAACUCCAGAACUGCCUUUGAUACUGAGGAUCUUGAGUCCGGGAGAGGUGAGUGGAACUGCGAGUGUAGAGGUGAAAUUCGUAGAUAUUCGCAAGAACACCAGUGGCGAAGGCGGCUUACUGGUCCGGUACUGACGCUGAGGUGCGAAAGCGUGGGGAGCGAACCGG